GAUGAACGCUGGCGGCGUGCCUAACACAUGCAAGUCGAACGAAGCAAUUAAAAUGAAGUUUUCGGAUGGAUUUUUGAUUGACUGAGUGGCGGACGGGUGAGUAACGCGUGGAUAACCUGCCUCACACUGGGGGAUAACAGUUAGAAAUGACUGCUAAUACCGCAUAAGCGCACAGUACCGCAUGGUACGGUGUGAAAAACUCCGGUGGUGUGAGAUGGAUCCGCGUCUGAUUAGCCAGUUGGCGGGGUAACGGCCCACCAAAGCGACGAUCAGUAGCCGACCUGAGAGGGUGACCGGCCACAUUGGGACUGAGACACGGCCCAA
rnacentral:rRNA from 1 species